GUUAACAUAAAUAUUGCUUGAAUGAGUAUUUUUUGUGAUUUUCACAUAAAAGAAGUUGAUAUGAGAUUUAAAAAUCACGGUUAUUUUGCACUCUAAUUUACAAUUUCUCUCCCAGUCCGCAAUAACUCUCUUCCACCUUUCUCUCUCCCCUAGGCUCCAAUUAAAUGGCUCUCUUUCAAUCAUGAAACCCUAGGAAGAAACCUCCAAUUAAUCGCCGCUCUUCUACCAGUUCUCUCCGCCACCAGUUUUUUAGAUUCCAGCGUUGAUGCUGUCCGCGGAAGGAGGAGUGUCGCUGCUGAUCAUUUUUUUCUCAUCCGGUCAUAUCAAGGUUAGCGGCCCUGUCUGGUAUUGAUGUGUAUGAAAUUUUACGAAUCGGUAGUUGCUUCUAAUGGUUGGGUACUUGACAAUGCAUUGCCGAGGACACAAUUAAACAAUGGUUAAAAGAAGGAAGGUAACCACAAAGCUUGCAGAAGAGGAGGACUCUCGUAGGAAAUCUGUAGAAGCUCAAAACAAGUUUGUGGAUGACGUAAUGAAUACGGCAACACGCCACUUUGAAGAGGCGCAAAAGAAAUGACCUGUUGAUGUUGAAAAGAUGGUUGCAAGAGUACCCCGGACCUUGAAUAGCGAAAGAUAUUGUUUUAGGAGAAUUGGCAUCAUGUGUUUUGUUUAAUUUUUUUUGAGUAAACUAAAUCUUGAUGGAUGGUCGAUGACCGUUGGUUUCUUUAGGUGUAUACAUUGAUGAUUUUUGGAUUUCUAUUUUUGUUUGGUGUAGACAUUGAAUGUUAAACACGCAUAAGGCAUGAUUUACAAUCGUAAA